rnacentral:tRNA from 1 species
GUGUAUUUAGCUCAAUGGUAAGAGUGUACGCAUAAGAACGUAAAGCUGCCGGUUCGAAUCCGGCAAUACCCACCU